CUAAAAGAGUUUUAAAACGGGAAAAAAAAUUGUGUUUACAUUUUUUCGUAAUAAGUUAAAACUCUUGCUCGUCAUGUAUCAAACUAGAAGGAAAAACACAGUUAUCUUUUAAAAACAAGGGUAUUCUUUUUUUCAAAAUAAUGGAUUGGGAUGAUUGAUAAACGCUAGAAUUCAUUAAGGGAGAAAGCUCUUCAUAAUAUUUUUGGUUUUUUGUAUUGAAAAUCCCAUUUAAAGUUGCUUUUGAUAUAACAUUUUUUAAGGCUAAAAGACAUUUUUUUUUUCUCUUGAUCGGGUUGGAGUGUAUGAGGUGGUCGAGGAAUUUUCUUUUGUAGUAAACACUGCGAUUGAUGAGGCAAUUGAAUAGUUAAAACAAAAUAUGUUAGUAAAAAUGUUGUUUUAACCCAACCUUUGCUUUAAAAAAAAAGGUUUCUUUUUUUUUAACUAGUAGGAAGGAGUAAAAAAUGUGUCCAAUUUUAAAAACAGUAAAACUAU